UCGAGCGGACAGAUGGGAGCUUGCUCCCUGAUGUUAGCGGCGGACGGGUGAGUAACACGUGGGUAACCUGCCUGUAAGACUGGGAUAACUCCGGGAAACCGGGGCUAAUACCGGAUGGUUGUUUGAACCGCAUGGUUCAAACAUAAAAGGUGGCUUCGGCUACCACUUACAGAUGGACCCGCGGCGCAUUAACUAGUUGGUGAGGUAACGGCUCACCAAGGCAACGAUGCGUAGCCGACCUGAGAGGGUGAUCGGCCACACUGGGACUGAGACACGGCCCAGACUCCUACGGGAGGCAGCAGUAGGGAAUCUUCCGCAAUGGACGAAAGUCUGACGGAGCAACGCCGCGUGAGUGAUGAAGGUUUUCGGAUCGUAAAGCUCUGUUGUUAGGGAAGAACAAGUACCGUUCGAAUAGGGCGGUACCUUGACGGUACCUAACCAGAAAGCCACGGCUAACUACGUGCCAGCAGCCGCGGUAAUACGUAGGUGGCAAGCGUUGUCCGGAAUUAUUGGGCGUAAAGGGCUCGCAGGCGGUUUCUUAAGUCUGAUGUGAAAGCCCCCGGCUCAACCGGGGAGGGUCAUUGGA
rnacentral:rRNA from 1 species